rnacentral:lncRNA from 1 species
AAAUCUUAUAUUAUCAGCAAUCAUGCUGCUGUUUAACCACCAAUGUUUACAAAUAUUCUGAAACCACCAAAAAAAGCACUUCUAUGAACAAUCCAUCAAAAUCAUAGCUGCAGCCACUAUGUCACUGGCUUUGGCUUCUAGGUGGCCAUCAAGUGUGCAACUGUCUAGGGCCAAAAAUAAAAAGAGGCACCGAGAGAGCCUGGAAGUCUUGGUGCUACCAUUGAAAUAGACAUACCCCCUACCCCAAUUAUGUGAAGACUCUUUUGGCCAAUAUCUCAGAUAAUGAAGGACGUACACAGAAGCGUUGCCUAAAAAGAGGCUCUGGGCCCUGUUUUCUCUGGGACUUGGGGCCACAUACAGGGGCAAGCGAUGCCUGGAAUGACUUGGUUGCAGUUAGAAGAGCUGUAAAGCCUUUGCCGUUAGUUGUUGAAUUCAUUUGCUGAUGUGUCUGUGAUCAUCCUCAGCUCUGAUGACAGGUUCAUUUUGAUGACUGAGUUCCCCAAACUACUGCAGAUUACGCAUUUCCCCCUGUCCUCAAAUUCACCUUAUAUACUGGUGCUUGCUUUGGGAAACCAUUUAUGAAUAAUUAGAGCACCCUUGGUAAAGAUUCUUACAAGGGUGGGGCUGGCCAAUGGAAGCAAGAGAAAGAAUGUAGAGUAAGCAGGGAAAAAUAAAGUUUUUAUGUAGAAGUGGAAUUAAUCACUUGAAAAUCAAUCACAGCUGAGGAUUUUAGUUAAAGCACAUAUUGCUCACCAAGACCAAGACAAAACUUUCUAAAGACUAGCAUUUCCUUCAAAUACAAAUUUUCAAACACAAACAAGCAGACGCCCAGGCUAAUGCACAACAGUCCAUACAUGGGAUCAGUUUUAUCAGACAUACAACAUCCCAUUUAUGGUAAACAAAUAAUUGUAGCAGGAAGCAAAUGAUUUUUAAAAAUCCUUGAAUUUCUGAGUUGGAAGGGAAUUUAUCUACCACCUAGUAAUGAUAGAUUUUUGACAUGAGUAUACUAGAAACAGCAGUAACUUCCCCAAAGGCCAUCCAGAUGGUCCUGUAGAGGCCACAUCAGCUUCCCUUUCUCCAUUUGCUCUCUGCACUAAACUAUGGACAGUAGAAAACCUGGAUGUUGUCACUAAUUAAACUCAACAACCUGAAGCAGGCUCUUAAUCCCCCUAUGUUUUCUUUCUGGAAAAUAAAAUGCCCUCUAAGAUCCCUUCUGGCCCUCACAUUCUAGCAUCUAUAAAACUGCAAGAUCAACUAUGCCUUUGCUCAAAAAGCAGGUACACAGAAAUAUGCAUGAAUUACUUCUUAGUAAAAGCCACAGUGUUUUUGCAAACCACUGCCAAAAUUGAGCUUCUCAGGCACUUAUCUGCAAAAUGUUAGCACAAGCUGAGGAAUUUAUUGAUGGCAAUUAAUCUGCUGCCAGUAUGUUAACUCCACAGAGGUGCUGGAAGGAGGCAGUCACUGGUUUCUGCAGUGGUGCACGUGGACCCUGGGGUGUUUUCUAUGGUCCUCAGCACUCUCCUGUCUACCAUCAGAGCUGAACACAUGGAGCAUGACAAGAGUUAUUUUCUUUUCCAGUCCAGCCCCCUAAAUGUGGCAGCACCCAAUGGUGGUGUUUGCUGUCAGUGAUUCCAAACUACCAUCUUACAUUGACUGGAAGAACUCUAAAAGCACAGGCAGAGGGAUGCAGUGAGUGAAAUCUGGAACUGGAAGUUACAAGACCACUCUGGGUGAUGGUGGACAAUCAUGAUUCCUAUAGGAACCCUCACUGAGUCGUUUUUCAAAUGAGUGUGAACUACAUGACCUGAAGUUCUAUUUUGAAAGUACGCGACGUUUUCUAUGAACCUCCUGACAUGUCUCACAGAUUCUUCAAGGAAUAUGGGAUUUUAUAUCUUGGACAUCAGUAAAUGAUAUGUAUGUAGGAGAGCGGAAGCAUGUUACUUGCAAGCAAAAUGAUGUGUCAUUAUUCAGAACUCAAAUAGGGAGUGGUCCACAGUUGUCAUUACCCAGUGGUCAGUGAAGGAAGGAAGGCAAGAGUGGCGGAACACCGCUGGAGAAACAGAUAACUACAUGUGGCAUGUUAACUCCUGUCAAAGACAUGUUCACUGAAGACUCUCCUGAGCUUUUCCAGGAUGUAUGUCCAGGAGAUCCUGUUGGCACAUCCAAACAUUUCCCCUUGUGACUGCACAUAAGCAUGGUCACCUGACAGGGAUCAGGCCCACUCUCCUUUAGAGGGUGGAAUCCCACUGAACUGAGACUUCCUUUCAACAGUCCCCAUCCCACUUCUGCAACACUAUUUGGGCCAGUGGUGUCCAGAGGGGGAAGCCAUCUUUCUUUCCAUCAAGAGACACAAUACACCAGAAGUCUAGAGCAUACCACCUGUCAUGUAUUGGACAAUAAACUAUUGCUUGUGUUAAUUUUCAGUAUUUCAAGAUGUAGAAUACUUGCUUUGAGAACAAAACAUAAUAAUAAUUGUAAAGUCUAAUAAAAAUGUUUCUAAGUGGGA